AGAUAAGCCAAGCCACCUCUUCGUUCGAGGAGACAGAGACCAACAAGCUCCACGCCAAACAAGAGCUCCCUUCCUGCUCCAGAAAUUUUACCAAUUUUUAAAAUUUCCACCUAGUUCACAUUGCGAAAUAAAUUCCAGAACGUCGUACGCGUAAAGAAAUCCGAACGUUGGUUGACAAUCUUGCAGAAGAAGGUUGAAAGGCAGGAUUCGAGCAGGAGAAGAUUCUUGAUACUCAAGAACCGACUGCAUCCCGAACACACGCCUUACGCCCAAAUUUGAAAGAGUCGUUGAAAAAGGGAUCGAUGCAUUUUAACGGGUCAACUUCCGAGCAGAACGAGACGUUGUCGUUGGACGGAAUGGAGGUUAACCAGAAAGCGGUCAAACGACAGAAGGCGCUCGUCCCCACGAAGGAGAAAGUCGACAAAGGGGAAAGUUCUCAAGAGAAUGGGCGAUUUCCUCCUCACUCCGUCCAAGCACCACGUGACGAUAACCACGUGCACUCGCAGUCACCCAACAUCACGUUAUCCAAAGCCAAGAAAGUCUUCCCAUGCAAAACAUGCCUCCGUCCUUUCAACAACAAAACCAGUGCUCGCCUCCACGCCCGCACCCACCUCAACCCCCACGAACUAGAGCAGUCCUCAUUUUUCCACGCAAGGUCCCCCACUGCGAAAAAGCGUUCUUCACUCGUAAUUCGUUUGUCGACUGACCCCUCGUCAAAUUUCAUGUAAUGUUUCCAUACUUUAGAUUUUUAUAUGUUCCCCAUGUCACCAUUUGUGACGAGAUAAUUAUUCUCGUAUGACUGAUAAAAAUAGAAUAAUGGAAUUAGUAAGAUGUAAACAUGACCAAAUUUUUGUUACCGUUUUGACCACGACGAUUUUUAUGUAGUAAAGUCAUUCUUUUUAUGUAAAA